rnacentral:rRNA from 1 species
CUACGGUCGCACCAGUGAGGAAUUUUGCGCAAUGGGCGAAAGCCUGACGCAGCAACGCCGCGUGAGUGAUGAAGGCCUUCGGGUCGUAAAGCUCUGUCAAGUGGGAAGAACCUAUGUAAUGUUAAUAUCAUUAUAUACUGACGGUACCACUGAAGGAAGCACCGGCUAACUCCGUGCCAGCAGCCGCGGUAAUACGGGGGGUGCAAGCGUUAUUCGGAAUCAUUGGGCGUAAAGGGCACGUAGGCGGCCUGGUAAGUCAGAUGUGAAAGCCCGGGGCUUAACCCCGGAAGUGCAUUUGGUACUGUCAGGCUUGAGUAUGGGAGAGGGAAGUGGAAUUCCUGGUGUAGAGGUGAAAUUCGUAGAUAUCAGGAGGAACACCGGUGGCGAAGGCGACUUCCUGGACCAAUACUGACGCUGAGGUGCGAAGGCGUGGGUAGCAAACAGGAUUAGAUACCCGGGUAGUC